rnacentral:rRNA from 1 species
GAGUUUGAUCAUGGCUCAGAGCGAACGUUAGCGGCGCGCCUAACACAUGCAAGUCGCACGAGAAAGGGCUUCGGCCCCGGUACAGUGGCGCACGGGUGAGUAACACGUGGGUAACCUUCCCGGAAGUGGUGGAUAACCUGCCGAAAGGCGGGCUAAUACAGCAUACGAUGAGGGAGCUUCGGCUCUUUCAUGAAAGCAGGCCUCUGUUCACAAGCUUGCGCUUCCGGAUGGGCCCGCGGCCCAUCAGCUAGUUGGUGAGGUAACGGCUCACCAAGGCUACGACGGGUAGCUGGUCUGAGAGGAUGAUCAGCCACACUGGAACUGAGACACGGUCCAGACUCCUACGGGAGGCAGCAGUGGGGAAUCUUGCGCAAUGGACGAAAGUCUGACGCAGCGACGCCGCGUGGGCGACGAAGGCCUUCGGGUUGUAAAGCCCU